UCCCGUGUGGCUCAGUUGGUAGAGCAUGGUGCUUGCAACACUCGGGUUGUGGUUUUGAAUCCCACCCGGGAC
rnacentral:tRNA from 1 species